rnacentral:rRNA from 1 species
CACGUAGGGUGCAAGCGUUGUCCGGAAUUAUUGGGCGUAAAGGGCUCGUAGGCGGUCCGUCACGUCGGGGAGUGAAAACUCGGGGGCUCAACCCCGAGCCUGCUUCCGAUACGGGCGGACUAGAGGUAGGUAGGGGAGAACGGAAUUCCUGGUGUAGCGGUGGAAUGCGCAGAUAGUCAGGAGGAACACCGGUGGCGAAGGCGGUUCUCUGGGACGGUACUGACGCUGGAGACGCGAAAGCGUGGGGAGCGAACAGG